rnacentral:rRNA from 1 species
UACGUUGGGCGCGAGCGUUGUCCGGAAUUAUUGGGCGUAAAGAGCUCGUAGGCGGCCGGUUGCGUCUGCUGUGAAAUCCCGGGGCUUAACCCCGGGCGUGCAGUGGAUACGGGCCGGCUGGAGGCAGGCAGGGGAGAAUGGAAUUCCCGGUGUAGCGGUGAAAUGCGCAGAUAUCGGGAGGAACACCGGUGGCGAAGGCGGUUCUCUGGGCCUGUACUGACGCUGAGGAGCGAAAGCGUGGGGAGCGAACAGG